AGUGGCGAACGGGUGAGUAAUGCAUCGGAACGUACCGUGUAGUGGGGGAUAACGUAGCGAAAGUUACGCUAAUACCGCAUACGCCCUGAGGGGGAAAGUGGGGGACCGCAAGGCCUCACGCUAUAUGAGCGGCCGAUGUCGGAUUAGCUAGUUGGUAGGGUAAAGGCCUACCAAGGCGACGAUCCGUAGCGGGUCUGAGAGGAUGAUCCGCCACACUGGGACUGAGACACGGCCCAGACUCCUACGGGAGGCAGCAGUGGGGAAUUUUGGACAAUGGACGCAAGCCUGAUCCAGCCAUGCCGCGUGAGUGAAGAAGGCCUUCGGGUUGUAAAGCUCUUUCAGACGGAAAGAAAUCUCUCGGGAUAACACCCUGGGAGGAUGACGGUACCGUAAGAAGAAGCACCGGCUAACUACGUGCCAGCAGCCGCGGUAAUACGUAGGGUGCGAGCGUUAAUCGGAAUUACUGGGCGUAAAGCGUGCGCAGGCGGUGAUGUAAGACAGAUGUGAAAUCCCCGGGCUCAACCUGGGAACUGCGUUUGUGACUGCAUCACUCGAGUACGGCAGAGGGAGGUGGAAUUCCGCGUGUAGCAGUGAAAUGCGUAGAUAUGCGGAGGAACACCGAUGGCGAACGCAGCCUCCUGGGCCAGUACUGACGCUCAUGCACGAAAGCGUGG
rnacentral:rRNA from 1 species